rnacentral:rRNA from 1 species
ACAGAGGUCCCGAGCGUUGUUCGGAUUCACUGGGCGUAAAGGGUGCGUAGGUGGCGAGGUAAGUCGGAUGUGAAAUCUCGGAGCUCAACUCCGAAAUGGCAUUGGAAACUACCUUGCUCGAGGGUUGGAGGGGGGACUGGAAUACUUGGUGUAGCAGUGAAGUGCGUAGAUAUCGAGCGGAACACCAGUGGCGAAGGCGAGUCUCUGGACAUUUCCUGACGCUGAGGCACGAAAGCCAGGGGAGCAAACGGGA